UGGAAGGGAUGAGGGUCCAGAGAAAUCAGA
rnacentral:piRNA from 2 species